rnacentral:rRNA from 1 species
GAGUUUGAUCGUGGCUCAGAUUGAACGCUGGCGGCGUGCCUAACACAUGCAAGUCGAGCGGUAACGCGGGAGCAAUCCUGGCGACGAGCGGCGGACGGGUGAGUAACGCUUGGGAAUCUGCCUACUAGUGGGGGACAACACGGGGAAACUCGUGCUAAUACCGCAUACGCACUACGGUGGAAAGCCGGGGACCGCAAGGCCUGGCGCUAGUAGAUGAGCCCAAGUCGGAUUAGCUAGUUGGUGAGGUAAUGGCUCACCAAGGCUUCGAUCCGUAACUGGUCUGAGAGGACGACCAGUCACACCGGAACUGAGACACGGUCCGGACUCCUACGGGAGGCAGCAGUGGGGAAUAUUGGACAAUGGGCGGAAAGCCUGAUCCAGCGACGCCGCGUGGGUGAAGAAGGCCUGCGGGUUGUAAAGCCCUUUCAGUGGGGAAGAAAAGUCUCGUCCUAAUACGGCGGGAUCUUGACGUAACCCAUAGAAGAAGCACCGGCUAACUCUGUGCCAGCAGCCGCCGUAAG